rnacentral:rRNA from 1 species
CGUAGGGUGCAAGCGUUAAUCGGAAUUACUGGGCGUAAAGCGUGCGCAGGCGGUUUUGUAAGUCUGUCGUGAAAUCCCCGGGCUCAACCUGGGAAUGGCGAUGGAGACUGCAAGGCUAGAGUUUGGCAGAGGGGGGUAGAAUUCCACGUGUAGCAGUGAAAUGCGUAGAUAUGUGGAGGAACACCGAUGGCGAAGGCAGCCCCCUGGGUCAAAACUGACGCUCAUGCACGAAAGCGUGGGGAGCAAACAGGAUUAGAUACCCUGGUAGUCCACGCCCUAAACGAUGUCUACUAGUUGUCGGGUCUUAAUUGACUUGGUAACGCAGCUAACGCGUGAAGUAGACCGCCUGGGGAGUACGGUCGCAAGAUUA